rnacentral:rRNA from 1 species
UACGAACUGUGCGAACGUUAUUCGUAAUCACUGGGCUUACAGGGUGCGUAGGCGGCUUAGCAAGUCAGGUGUGAAAGCCCCCGGCUCAACCGGGGAACUGCGCUUGAAACUGCUGAGCUCGAGUCAGCUAGAGGUACACGGAACUUCCAGUGGAGCGGUGAAAUGUGUUGAUAUUGGAAGGAACACCGGAGGCGAAAGCGGUGCACUGGGGCUGGUCUGACGCUGAGGCACGAAAGCCAGGGGAGCGAACGGG